AGCAGCCGCGGUAAUUCCAGCUCCAAUAGCGUAUAUUAAAGUUGUUGCAGUUAAAAAGCUCGUAGUUGAAUUUCGGGGUCAGUAGGCUGGUCAUGCCACUGGUAUGUACUGGUCUCACUGAUUCCUCCUUCCUGAUGAACUGUAAUGCCAUUAAUUUGGUGUUGCAGGGAAUCUGGACUGUUACUUUGAAAAAAUUAGAGUGUUUAAAGCAGGCUAACGCCUGAAUACAUUAGCAUGGAAUAAUGAAAUAGGACGUUCGAUCCUAUUUUGUUGGUUUCUAGGAUUGACGUAAUGAUUAAUAGGGAUAGUUGGGGGCAUUAGUAUUCAAUUGUCAGAGGUGAAAUUCUUGGAUUUAUUGAAGACUAACUACUGCGAAAGCAUUUGCCAAGGAUGUUUUCAUUAAUCAAGAACGAAAGUUAGGGGAUCGAAGACGAUCAGAUACCGUCGUAG
rnacentral:rRNA from 1 species